UUUUAGGGCUGCACCCACGGCACAUGGAGGUUCCCAGGCUAGGGGGUCUAAUAAGAGCUGUUGCUGCCGGCCUACACCACAGCUCACGGCAACACCGGAUCCCUUAAUCCACUGAGCAAGGCCAGGGAUCGAACCCGCAACCUUAUGGUUCCUAGUCGGAUUCGUUUCCGCUGUGCCACGACGGGAACACCCCCUUUUUUUGAAUUAGCUACAAUUAAAAAGACUGACGAUAUCAAAUGUUGACCAGGAUGUGGAACGACUGAAACUCUUUUUGGGGGAAGAGUAAAUCAGUACGACUACCAUGGAAGAUCCUUUGGCGGUACAGCUGACCCUUGACCAACUCGAGGUGAAUGUGCAGACGAGGUAUAGUUGGCCCUCCUUACCUCUGGUUCCCCACAGACUGUGUAGGACUGUAGCAUGAACUACUGAAAAACAUUUGCGUAUAAAUGGACCCGCACCGUUCACACCCAUAGUGGUUCAAGGGUCAACUGUAUUUACUAGUGCUGAACUCGUGCAGUCAUAACCCAAUAAUUCUACUCCGAGGUAUACACCAAGAAACAGUGUACAUAUGUGCAGCAAAAGAUACGUACUAGAAUGUUCACGGUGGUGUUAUGCACCACAGCCCCUGCCUAGAAACUACCCAAACACCCAUCAUAGACUAAUGAAAUCAAAGUAUAUCCAUACAAGCAGAUGACUGUACCUCAAUGAAGAACGAACUACUGCUAUAAGCGAGAGGGAUGAAAGUCACAAAGAGGAUGCGGGAUGGUCAAGUCAGAAGCCUAACAACAGACGAGACCAACCUGUGCUGGUCUGAGGAAGUGAUGGGGUGAGACAUCAGGGACCCUGCCGUGCUGCCUGAAAUGUGUGUCCUACAUCUUUAUCUGGGACUUGACCACCUGGAGUAGGCAUCUAGCUUUCUACCUAAGAUUUCUAUACUUUCCUAUGUAAAUGUGAUUCCUCAAUAAAAAAUAAAUAAAUUGAAACAGGAAAAGAACCAAAAAGGAAGAUAAUUAUCAACAUGAUUUCCCCACUGAAAGAGGAAGAGUAAAAUAACCUUCAAGACAAACUGAGUGAGCAUGCGUGCUGGCUAAAGGGGUAUAAACCACAGGAAGUGCAUGAUUACAUCGAUCAGUUAGUUUAUUACUCAGCCGAAUACUACUAAUCCAUUUAAAAUCGCCACCCAAUCCUAAGUUGUUUAUUUUCAAAACCAACUAAAGACUGCAAGCAUGAGGAUUGUACUCAAGUAUGCGCUUUUGGAAAUAAAAACGGUAAUAACUCUGAACGUUGUCUUCACUAUCUGGUCUAUAAAUUGUAUCUAUCUGACCACAGUUCUUUUCAGACAUGUCAAGUAGCCACAGUAUGCUGGAGUACUUCAAAUAUCCGUGUUAGAAAUAAGAAAAAUAUAAUGAUGACUAUAUUCAAUCUGGCUUUUUAUUAGAAAUGAAGAUUAUCCACCCCAGGAAUGUGUCACAUGUGAGGAAGUGUUUUCAACAAAAACCUUAAGCCCUGUCAUUUAGAAACAAAAUGCAAAUAUAUCUGGAAAAAAAAAAAAAAGGUGAUUCUCUCUUUUUUUAAAAAAAACCCACAAUAUCCAACUUAUAUGAAGUAAGGCAGAAGAAAGCAGCUUCUGGCCCACAUUUGAUACUGUAAUAUGCAGCUGAAUUUCAGUCUGAAUUUUAAUGUAUAUUCAGUCACCAAAUAAUCUGUCUACAAAGUACACAUCUUCUUACAUCAUGUGAAGAGCAGGGACCAUUCAAGCUUGGGACACAUACACGAAGAACAGGUACAGCUUUCAUCAACCUAAGGAACGCAGGUGUUCAGACAUAAACACGCAUUUUAUCUUUAGUGAGAGCUGAAAUCUAAAACCUCUGCAUUAAAAAACGGGUCCAACUAUUGUAUUUGCAAGGACUAAAUUGAGUCUACUGGUCAAGAAUAUCCAGGCUAUUUGAACUGUUACCUAAGUUUACAUGGAACUAUAGGCUCUAUCUUCAUUUAUAGCCUACGAGCAUCCCUUCAUUUCAGAACUCUUGGCAAAAAUGCUGAUGAAUGAAAAUUCACGUAUGUUUGCUACCCAGCUAAAGUUCGGUUAUAAAUACUUUUUAAAAGUUACCUCUGACUGAAGAAGAUUUAAAGAUGCACCAAAGCUAAUGAAGAGCUAAUACAUAUUGGAAACUUUUUUCUAAAAAUUAAAGUAUAAAUUAAACACUGAUUUACAAUGUUGUGCCAAUUUCUGCUGUACUUUAGAAACUUUUAAGUUACAAACAGAAGAGUUAUUUGUCCUGGGAGAUCUUCCUACUGUUGUGGUAAGAUUUUAAAAUAUUUAUUUCCAAAUCACUACAUACAAACAGCACCAAAUAAACUAAAAGAAUAAACAAACAAGGAAACCCACAGAAUUUCUAGGAAGCUCAGGUUAUCAGACCAGGAGAAUUAGCUUUUCUUCUUUCCAGUAAUAAACAGCUCGGGGGAAGAACACAUCCAUUAUACAUGACAGGUUGCAAGUGGUUGGUUCAACUGGGUACGUUUGAUUGGUGAUGUCUACGAAAAAGGUUUUUUUUCGUUUGAACCGGGAGAAGCAGCAGGUGACAGAUGGCAAGGGAAAACCAAGCAAAUACACAAUGAAGAAAGGAGCUGGAAACUAUCACUACUGGCAGAGCGUUACCGGGCAGUUAUGGUGCCCAAGAGCAACCAAUGGAGAAUGAUGAGCGGCAGAUCUUUUGACACGAUUCAAGCCAAGCCUUGAAGUAAGAGAAGUUAGAAACAGUUCUAAGAAGUCAGGGAGCGAGGGAGAGAGGGUGGUAAACACAAGUCUUCAACAGGCUCUAAAGGAAUCAGGUUUGGGGUGAGAGGCGGUAACAACAGGUCUAGAACCGUGGUGAUGACAGGGGACCUGCCGCGGGAGGAUUAGUGGAUGUGAGAAAAUCUGUCCCUUCAUGUUCAUCCCGGCUACGAAAGCCCUCUCGUUUCCAAAGUAACUCCCACCUGAGCUUUGCAACAGUCUUCUAACUGGUCCCACCUCCAAUUUCGCACCCCUCUAUCCUACCCUAUAUGCCACUUCCACAAAAGAUCUUAAAUCACUGCACACAGCCCCCUCCCCACCUCCAGGCUCUGUUUCAGAAAAACACGUGGUGGCUCUACAACCACUAGAUAAAGGUUAUCCCUGGGUUAACAGUCAAGGUCAACCACAGUUGGGUCACCGGCUAAAAUCAUGACGGAGUGUGGUACCGGUGGGGAGAGAACUGGAUUUAGAUGUAGGGAACCUAGAAAAAGUCCCAGCUGGGCCCCCCCAGUUAUGUCACAUGACUUCUGUGAGCCCCGCGUCCCUUAUGUGUAAGAUCAAUGUGGCUGAGCCCAAGGUAUUCUGUUACGGGACCAUGGUGCUGCUUCCUUUUAAUAACGGCAGCAUCUGCAGAGGGCUCGGUAGGUGCCAGACACUGUGCUAACCAGUUUACAUGAAUUAUCCACUGAAGUAUUGCGGAUACUGUAAAAUACUACCGAAAUGCUAAUUAUUCUUUUCUAAGUUUUCUCAAACCAUCUGUUUGAGAAUUCAUUUCUAGAAUUUUAAUUGUGGUGAUAUAGCUGUGAAAAUGGAGAAAAACUAUUACAUAGCCUCUUGCUUCCUAUCUCUGGCUUCCACUCUCCAGCAGGAUGACCACACCUAACCUUCUGCUCUUAAAGACCAUUAAUCCUUGCGGGGAUGAUUUGAGGAAAACAGGAGAGAUGCUAUUCCCUCUAAUAUCAGAAGCUGACAGUUUACCAUCUUUUCCAAGCGGAAGUCUCUCUCCUUGUUCUUUUCACCUUUUCGCUCCACACAGUGCUGAGUCAGGUCACUGGACCUGAACCAUGGUCCUGAAGUCCUAGGAAGACACCAUGGCAUAAUAAAAAAAAAAAAAAAAAAAAAA
ensembl:lncRNA